UUAAGUUUUAUUAGGUUGUAUUUAGUUUGUCUUUAGUUGUUUUAAGUUGUAUUAAGUUUUAUUAGGUUGUAUAUAGUUUUAUUAGGUUGUAUAUAGUUUUAUUAAGUUGUAUUUAGUUGUUUUAGAUUUCAGGACGUUGCUGUGGUGAGAAAGGUCUCCUUGUCGCUGCACUGAGACUCAGCAGGGUGUCUGCACACAGAGAGUGGGCUGGAGGGGAUAUCGUGAACCUCCAACGUGUUUCGACCCCCAGUGAAGCUCCUCUGUGCAGAGAACUAAUAGGAUGGCCACACCAUGUCAGGAGGGUCCACAUGUCUGUCGCUGCCCACCCCAGUCUGACAAGAGUCCUCAGUGACAAGGAGAGGAGACAAGAGGAGAGGAGGUGGAGGGUGAGUAUGAACCCUUAUAUAGAAAAGGGAGAGGAGUGGAGGUGAUGGGUUAAUGUGAACCUCCUCUUUAAAAAGAGAGGAGAGAAGAGGAGAGGAGAGGAGGACAGGAGAGGAGGUGGAGGGCGAGUCUGAACCUUCUCUUUUAAAAGAGAGGAUAUGAGAGGAGACAAGGAGAGGAGAAGAGGAGAGGAGGUGGAGGGCGAGUGUGAACCUUAUCUAUUUAAAG